rnacentral:rRNA from 1 species
GACGAACCGAGCGAACGUUGUUCGGAAUCACUGGGCUUAAAGGGCGCGUAGGCGGGUGCUCAAGUCUGUGGUGAAAUCCUCCGGCUCAACCGGAGAACUGCCAUGGAUACUGGGUGCCUCGAGGGUGAUAGGGGUAUGCGGAACUAUCGGUGGAGCGGUGAAAUGCGUUGAUAUCGAUAGGAACUCCGGUGGCGAAGGCGGCAUACUGGAUCACUUCUGACGCUGAGGCGCGAAAGCCAGGGGAGCGAACGGG